CGCAGCGCUGCCGGCGGGCUGGGGUUAUGGAAAUUUAUGGAAAUUUAUGCAAAUUAAGGGGUUUUUUCACCCCCUCCGGAGGUUUUUGAGGCUCGGAGCGGCCGCGCCCGCGGCUUUGGGGCGAAAUCCCUGGAAAAGGAGCGGGAAAAGCGCCGGGAAAAGGAAAAAAGCCCAGCGCCCUCAUUUUCCCUCAGUUUUCGGCAGCUCCUCCCUGAACUUUCACUUCUGGCUCGGAUUUAUGGAAAAAAUUCCUCCAGCUCCGUUUUUUCCCUCCUUUUAAGGGAAAAGCUCCC